rnacentral:lncRNA from 1 species
CUCACCCAGCGGCUGGAGGUGAAGAGGACGUUCUGGGUUCGUUUUCCCGUUUGCCUGUCUCCAUCCUGGAAUUCCUGACUUCAAUGGAGUGUUCAUUGUGCGCCAAGCACCGUCCCACAAGACCAAUAGCUGAGGGGGCGUUGUCCUUACUUUUCAGAGGAGCAAACUGAGGCCCGAAGAUUUCCCACCUGCACUACUUUACUGUUCUGCAAGUGUCCACUCUUUACCCUUGGAGUUAUUCCCACAGCAGCCAAGUCCCAAACCUGGUGUGGUGGUGCACACCCUUAAUCCCUGUACUCAGGAGGCAGAGGCAAGUGGAUCUCUGAGUUCCAGGCCAUCCAGGACUACAUAGAGAAAUCUGAUCUUAAAACUAAUAAUAGGGGCUGGAGAGAUGGCUCAGCGGUAAGAGCACUGACUGUUCUAGAGGUUCUGAGUUCAAAUCCCAGCGACCACAUGGUGGCUCACAACCAUCUGUAAUGAAAUCUGAUGCCCUCUUCUGGGGUGUCUGAAGACAACUACAGUGUACUAAAAUAA